CCUACGGGAGGCAGCAGUGGGGAAUAUUGCACAAUGGGGGGAACCCUGAUGCAGCGACACCGCGUGGGUGAAGGAGUAUUUCGGUAUGUAAAGCCCUAUCAGCAGGGAAGAACAAUGACGGUACCUGACUAAGAAGCACCGGCUAAAUACGUGCCAGCAGCCGCGGUAAUACGUAUGGUGCAAGCGUUAUCCGGAUUUACUGGGUGUAAAGGGAGCGCAGGCGGCGCGUUAAGCCUGGUGUGAAAGUCCGCGGCCCAACCGCGGGACUGCAUUGGGAACUGGCGCGCUGGAGUGCCGGAGGGGUAGGCGGAAUUCCUGGUGUAGCGGUGAAAUGCGUAGAUAUUAGGAAGAACACCAGUGGCGAAGGCAGCCUACUGGACGGUAACUGACGCUGAGGCUCGAAAGCGUGGGGAGCAAACAGGAUUAGAUACCCCAGUAGUC
rnacentral:rRNA from 1 species